rnacentral:sRNA from 1 species
CUAUGUUUCUAUUUCCUUUUUUAUAGACAAUGUGCACUUUGAAGGAAAAAAAGACAACUCGUCAAAUUCACUGCUAUAUUUAAUUUGUUUCAAAUAUUUAGAUGCUUAUCCCAAAAGUGAAAUCAUAUAUACAUGGAAAAAAGGACCACUUUACUCAGUAGAAGUCCCAGAAGAAUCUUCAAGCCUUCUCCAGUAUGAUCUGAUUGGACAAACAGUAUCUAGUGAGACAAUUAAAUCCAACACAGGUAAGAAUUUGACCAAAGGAUGGAAAUAAUCCCUCAGGAUGACUCCAGUGUACAUUUUCAAAAUAUCUAUUUCUUUUUCCUUCGCCUUAGCCAUUCUCAGCUAAGCAUGCUGUUUUGAAGUGAUGAAUAGCUUUCCUUAAAACUGAUUUUGCAACCAGGUGCAUAUAAAGAUUUGUGUAAUCUUGGAAUAAGUAGUUUUUUUUAUGUAUAUGAUAUAAAGAACCCUACUGAAAACAAUAAGUUGAUGUGUCUCUUCACUCUAUCAUCUGCUGAUCAAGUAGCUUUCUCAUAUACUGAAAUGUACCUUUGCUUGUUUUCUUCCAGUCAAUGUUAAUUUAAAAAUUGUCAAGAUUUAUAUUCAACUGCAUUCUUUUUGCAGACUGUCAGCAGUAAUAAUACUGAUGUAUGUGUCUUCCAACAGGUGAAUACGUUAUAAUGACAGUUUACUUCCACUUGCAAAGGAAGAUGGGCUACUUCAUGAUACAGAUAUACACUCCCUGCAUUAUGACAGUCAUUCUUUCCCAGGUGUCCUUCUGGAUUAAUAAGGAGUCCGUCCCAGCAAGAACUGUUUUUGGGAUCACCACUGUUUUAACUAUGACCACUUUGAGCAUCAGUGCCCGGCACUCUUUGCCAAAAGUGUCAUAUGCCACUGCCAUGGAUUGGUUCAUAGCUGUUUGCUUUGCAUUCGUCUUCUCCGCUCUUAUCGAGUUCGCAGCUGUCAACUACUUUACCAAUCUUCAGACACAGAAGGCCAAAAGGAAGGCACAGAUUGCAGCCCCACCCACAGUGACAAUAUCAAAAGCUACUGAACCUUUGGAAGCUGAGAUUGUUUUGCAUCCUGACUCCAAAUAUCAUCUGAAGAAAAGGAUCACCUCUCUGUCUUUGCCAAUAGUUUCAUCUUCCGAGGCCAAUAAAGUGCUCACGAGAGCGCCCAUCUUACAAUCAACACCUGUCACGCCCCCACCACUCUCGCCAGCCUUUGGAGGCACCAGUAAAAUAGACCAGUAUUCUCGAAUUCUCUUCCCAGUUGCAUUUGCAGGAUUCAACCUUGUGUACUGGGUAGUUUAUCUUUCCAAAGAUACAAUGGAAGUGAGUAGCAGUGUUGAAUAGCUUGCGGCCAGGACAACCUGAAUUCUAUAAGUUCUUGUUUUCUGUUUCCUAUGUUUUCUUAAAAAAUAGCAUUGAGACUUGUGUAGAUGCUUCUCAGAACAUGAAAUCAAAUUGGAAAUCUGUAACGCAGCUUCAGUAAGCAUGUGUGGGCAAAAAAGCAAUAAUCCUACUCCUCAAAAUAGAAAGUUGAAGAUUGCUGAAAAAUAUGACUUUUCUGUAUGUUAGAGAAAAACUUUAUGAGGAUGAAAUGGGUUCAAGAUGAAUUUGUCAACCUUUGUCUUCCAUUGUUCAGUAUUUUUAAUUGUCACUGUGAAUAACAUUUACCACAAGGCAGAUAAAAUAAGAAAUGCUGACACUUCCAAAGGUUGCCUUAAAAUAUGUUUAUUUUGGCUUAGUUCCCGAGAGGGCAAAAUAUAAAUACAGUCUAAAUAUUUAUCAGUAGGUUAAUACCAGCAUGUUGGAGGCCUUUAUGCUAGUAAAAUGGCUUUCAGUGGCAUUGUAAAGCCUACAUUGAGCUUAGCCAUUUGUUUUUAACUUCGCUGUGCUCUUUUACCUCAAUAAAAUGUGGUGUUUGUAUACAUAUAAAUUAUACAUAGCUCAUAAAUUAUGUAUGCAUAUGUACAUAGCUGUAGUUGGACUAAAAUUCAGUGUGUUUUAUCCUACUAAAUUCUCCUUUUAAAAUAAUACACUUACCAUAAUUCUAUGAGGUUGUAGAAAAAAGUACUCAUUAUAAGGAAGCCUUGUAUAUUAUGACUAUGGUUAUCUCUUGUGUUUUCCACAUUUCCAAUUAUAACAGUAAAUAAAACAACAAUAAACAUGG